GUGUGCAGAAGGAUGUAAAUAAAGGCAGGAGUUCAGGAGAGGUGAAGAAUACAAAGAGAUAAAAUAGAAUGGAGUGACGCAUUAUUGCAACACACAGGCCUAGAACAAGUUGGGUCCUGGGUAGAGUAAUACAAAAUCUUGGAAUGGGAUCAACACUUGAAAGAAAUAUUUACAAUCUUUCUUCUGCAGCUGCCAAGAUAGGCUAGAACACGAGACCUCAGUAAACCUGAGAGGCUACCAGACAAGAAGGCACUUGAUAGUAGCGGUUGCAGAGGGUGAUGUAGUGAACUCUUCAGUUUGAGUUCUUCAAACCUGGAGAUCAGAAGUUCAAAGAGAAAAAGUGAUGCAAG